UCCAGAUCCAUAUGGGAGUUAUGGAAGACUUUUGAGGUUCAGCUGUGAAUCCACCCUUGCUACCAGCAAAGUUGCUACUGAUGCCAUUGGAGCCAAGGAACAAUGCCUGGGCAGGAGGAGUGGAGUGUGCAUCUAUGUCAUGUAUGGUGCUUGUCCACAGUCUUGUUCCAAGCUCAUAGAGGAGGAAGAGCACAAAGUUGAACUAUAGUUCUGAGGAUAUUUUCUGGUUGCUGAUGGGAGUAGAGGAGAAGAGAGGAUCUCACAUUGCAAAGGAGAAAAAAACCCCACACAAUCCGCUUCACUCGAGUUUUGUGUUUGGAAAAUGAGGACAUGGAAGAGGUCCAUCUUUGCUGCCAUUUGGAUACAACUGCAAGAAAAAUUAAAAA